rnacentral:sRNA from 1 species
CUGCUGCUGCAGCUGCAGCUGCUGCUGCAGCUGCUGCUGCAGCUACUGCUGCAGCUGUUGCUGCUGCAGCUGCUGCUGCAGCUACUGCUGCAGCUACUGCUGCAGCUGCUGCUACAGCUGCUGCUGCAGCUACUGCUGCAGCCGUUGCUGCUGCAGCUGCUGCUGCAGCUACUGCUGCAGCUGUUGCUGCUGCAGUUGCUGCUGCAGCUACUGCUGCAGCUGUUGCUGCUGCAGCUGCUGCUGCAGCUACUGCUGCAGCAGCAGCUG